rnacentral:rRNA from 1 species
UACAGAGGUCUCGAGCGUUAGGCGGAAUCAUUGGGCUUAAAGCGUGUGUAGGUGGAUGCCUAAGUACCUUGUGAAAUCCCGCGGCUUAACCGUGGAACUGCUUGGUAUACUGGGUGUCUUGAGUCACUCAGGGGCGAGCGGAACAAAUGGUGGAGCGGUGAAAUGCGUAGAUAUCAUUUGGAACGCCAAUGGUGAAAACAGCUCGCUGGGGGUGCACUGACACUGAGACACGAAAGCCAGGGGAGCGAACGGG